rnacentral:ncRNA from 1 species
UUCUUCGGGGCAGGGUGCAAUUCCCUACCGGCGGUAAAAGUCCGCGACCCGAUGGUGCUUUAUGGUUCCAUCGGCUGACAUGGUGCAAUUCCAUGACCGACGGUGAUAGUCCGGAUGAGAGAAGAA